rnacentral:rRNA from 1 species
UACGUAGGACCCAAGCGUUAUCCGGAAUUACUGGGCGUAAAGAGUUGCGUAGGUGGUUUGUUAAGCGGGCAGUGAAAUCGUGUGGCUCAACCAUACACACAUUGUCUGAACUGGCAAACUUGAGUGAGAUAGAGGUAACUGGAAUUCCAAGUGUAGGAGUGAAAUCCGUAGAUAUUUGGAGGAACACCGAUGGCGUAGGCAGGUUACUGGAUCUCAACUGACACUAAGGCACGAAAGCAUGGGGAGCAAACGGG